rnacentral:rRNA from 1 species
UCGGUGACAGGUGGUGCAUGGUUGUCGUCAGCUCGUGUCGUGAGAUGUUGGGUUAAGUCCCGCAACGAGCGCAACCCCUAUUGUUAGUUGCCAUCAUUCAGUUGGGCACUCUAGCGAGACUGCCGGUAAUAAACCGGAGGAAGGUGGGGAUGACGUCAAAUCAUCAUGCCCCUUAUGACCUGGGCUACACACGUGCUACAAUGGUUGGUACAACGAGUUGCGAGUCGGUGACGGCGAGCUAAUCUCUUAAAGCCAAUCUCAGUUCGGAUUGUAGGCUGCAACUCGCCUACAUGAAGUCGGAAUCGCUAGUAAUCGCGGAUCAGCACGCCGCGGUGAAUACGUUCCCGGGCCUU